rnacentral:lncRNA from 1 species
AUGCAAAUCUUGCCUUGCAUCUCAUACAGGCAGAUUCAUACACAAAUGAUUACAACAUAUUCUCAUGAGUGCUGUUGGAGGGGCAGGAACAAGGUGCAACAUCAGCACAGAGGCAAACCACCUGGAGAGUUCUGGGGUAAUGAAGAAGGAAGAGUUAUUAUUGCAAAGAAGAUAAACAAACAACACUGGAAAAAACCUUUCUUCAGGGGAAGAACUUCUGAAUUGAUUUGUUGUUUGUGCACUUGUUUGUUUCACACAACACCGCAUGAAU